rnacentral:rRNA from 1 species
GCCGCAGCUAACGCAUUAAGUACCCCGCCUGGGGAGUACGGCCGCAAGGCUAAAACUCAAAGGAAUUGACGGGGGCCCGCACAAGCGGCGGAGCAUGUGGAUUAAUUCGAUGCAACGCGAAGAACCUUACCUGGGUUUGACAUGCACAGGACGCGUCUAGAGAUAGGCGUUCCUUUGUGGCCUGUGUGCAGGUGGUGCAUGGCUGUCGUCAGCUCGUGUCGUGAGGUGUUGGGUUAAGUCCCGCAACGAGCGCAACCCUUGUCUCAUGUUGCCAGCACGUAAUGGUGGGGACUCGUGAGAGACUGCCGCGGUCAACUCGGAGGAAGGUGGGGAUGACGUCAAGUCAUCAUGCCCCUUAUGUCCAGGGCUUCACACAUGCUACAAUGGCCGGUACAAAGGGCUGCAAUGCCGCAAGGUUAAGCGAAUCCUUAUUAAAGCCGGUCUCAGUUCGGAUCGGGGUCUGCAACUCGACCCCGUGAAGUCGGAGUCG